AAACUUGAGAGUUUGAUCCUGGCUCAGAACGAACGCUGGCGGUAUGCUUAACACAUGCAAGUCGAACGGACUUGUUGGGGCUUGCUCUGACAAGUUAGUGGCAAACGGGUGAGUAACACGUGGGAAUCUACCCAUCAGUACGGAAUAACAUUUGGAAACAAAUGCUAAUACCGUAUAUUCUCUAAGGAGGAAAGAUUUAUCGCUGAUGGAUGAGCCCGCGUAAGAUUAGGUAGUUGGUGGGGUAAUGGCCUACCAAGCCUACGAUCUUUAGCUGGUCUGAGAGGAUGAUCAGCCACACUGGGACUGAGACAC
rnacentral:rRNA from 1 species